UCUGGUUGAUCCUGCCAGUAGUUAUAUGCUUGUCUCAAAGAUUAAGCCAUGCAUGUCUAAGUACACACGAAUUAACAGUGAAACCGCAAAAGGCUCAUUAUAUCAGUUAUGGUUCCUUAGAUCGUUAACAGUGACUUGGAUAACUGUGGUAAUUCUAGAGCUAAUACAUGCAAUUAAAACACGGACCUUUUGGAACGUGUGCUUUUAUUAGGCUAAAACCAAGCGAUCGCAAGAUCGUUUUAUUGGUUGAACUCUAGAUAACAUGCAGAUCUUAUGGUCUUGUACCGACGACAGAUCUUUCAAAUGUCUGCCCUAUCAACUUUUGAUGGUAGUAUCUAGGACUACCAUGGUUGCAACGGGGAACGGGGAAUCAGGGUUCGAUUCCGGAGAGGGAGCCUGAGAAACGGCUACCACAUCUAAGGAAGGCAGCAGGCGCGUAAAUUACCCACUCCCAGCUCGGGGAGGUAGUGACGAAAAAUAACAAUACAGGACUCAUAUCCGAGGCCCUGUAAUUGGAAUGAGUACACUUUAAAUCCUUUAACAAGGACCUAUUGGAGGGCAAGUCUGGUGACAGCAGCCGCGGUAAUUCCAGCUCCAAUAGCGUAUAUUAAAGUUGUUGCGGUUAAAACGUUCGUAGUUGAACUUGUGCUUUAUACGGGUAGUACAACUUACAAUUGUAGUUAUGUAUGUAAGCGUAUUACCGGUGGAGUUCUUAUAUUUAAUUAAAUACUUGUAUUUUUGUAUAUAUGUCUCCUAUUUAAAAACCUGCAUUAGUGCUCUUCAUCGAGUGUUAUUGUGGGCCGGUACAAUUACUUUGAACAAAUUAGAGUGCUUAAAGCAGGCUUCAAAUGCCGGAAUAUUCUGUGCAUGGGAUAAUGAAAUAAGACCUCUGUUCUGCUUUCAUUGGUUUUCAGAUCAAGAGGUAAUGAUUAAUAGAAGCAGUUUGGGGGCAUUAGUAUUACGACGCGAGAGGUGAAAUUCUUUGACCAUCGUAAGACUAACUUAAGCGAAAGCAUUUGCCAAAGAUGUUUUCAUUAAUCAAGAACGAAAGUUAGAGGUUCGAAGGCGAUCAGAUACCGCCCUAGUUCUUACCAUAAACGAAGCUUAUAUAGCCUUCAUUCAUAGUGGCAGUAAAAUGUUUAUUGUGUUUGAAUGUGUUUAUAUAAGUAGAGCCGUACCUGUUGGUUUGUCCCAUUAUAAGGACACUAGCUUCUUAAAUGGACAAAUUGCGUCUAGCAAUAAUGAGAUUGAGCAAUAACAGGUUUCUGAUGCCCUUAGAUGUCCUGGGCUGCACGCGCGCUACAAUAAAAGUAUCAACGUGUAAUUCCGAGACCGAAAGGUCCGGGUAAACCGCUGAACCACUUUCAUGCUUGGGAUUGUAAACUGAAACUGUUCACAUGAACUUGGAAUUUCCAGUAAGUGUGAGUCAUUAGCUCGCAUUGAUUACGUCCCUGCCCUUUGUACACACCGCCCGUUGCUACUACCGAUUGAAUUAUUUAGUGAGGUCUCCGGACGUGAUCAUUGUGACGCCUUGUGUGUUGCGGUUGUUUCGCAAAAGUUGACCGAACUUAUAUUAUUAUCAUUAUUUAGAGAAAGUAUAAGUCGUAACAAGGUUUCCGUAGGUGAACCUGCGGAAG
rnacentral:rRNA from 1 species